rnacentral:rRNA from 1 species
AACGAACGCUGGCGGCAUGCCUAACACAUGCAAGUCGAACGAGACCUCCGGGUCUAGUGGCGCACGGGUGCGUAACGCGUGGGAACCUUCCCUUAGGUUCGGAAUAACUCCCCGACAGGGGUGCUAAUACCGGAUAAUGUCUUCGGACCAAAGAUUCAUCGCCCUUGGAUGGGCCCGCGUUGUACUAGCUAGUUGGUAGGGUAAAAGCCUAACAAGGCGUCGAUCCAUAGCUGGUCUGAGGGGAUGAUCAGCCACCCUGGGAGGGAGAAACGGCCCAGACUCCGACGGGAGGCAGCAGCGGGGAAUCUUGGAGGAGGGGCGAAAGGGUGAUCUAGCAAUACGGCGUGAGGGAAGAAGGCCCUCGGGCUGUAAAGUGAUGUUGUCGGGAGGGUAAAAAAGCUGUUUAACACGGCACUGUUAUGACGGUACCGGAAGAAUAAGCUCCGGCUAACUCCGUG